rnacentral:rRNA from 1 species
GUGUCAGCCGCCGCGGUAAUACGUAGGGGGCCAGCGUUGUUCGGAAUUACUGGGUGUAAAGGGUUCGUAGGCGGUGCGGCAAGUUGGGAGUGAAAUCUCUGGGCUCAACCCAGAGACGGCUUCCAAAACUGCCGUGCUUGAGUGUGAGAGAGGCUCGUGGAAUUGCAGGUGUAGCGGUGAAAUGCGUAGAUAUCUGCAGGAACACCCGUGGCGAAAGCGGCGAGCUGGAUCACUACUGACGCUGAAGAACGAAAGCUAGGGGAGCAAACAGGAUUAGAUACCCUGGUAGUCCUAGCCCUAAACGAUCAGGACUUGGGGUGCCACCCGUUCGGGUGGCGUCCCGGAGCUAACGCGUUAAGUCCUGCACCUGGGGAGUACGGUCGCAAGACUGAA